rnacentral:rRNA from 1 species
UACGUAGGUGGCAAGCGUUACUCGGAAUCACUAGGCGUAAAGCGCAUGUAGGCGGUUAGAUAAGUUUCUUGUGAAAGCUCCUGGCUUAACUGGGAGAGGUCAAGGAAUACUGUUUGACUUGAGUGUGGUAGGGGUAACUGGAAUUCCCGGUGUAGCGGUGAAAUGCGUAGAUAUCGGGAGGAAUACCUAUGGCGAAGGCAGGUUACUGGGCCAUCACUGACGCUGAGCUGCGAAAGCUAGGGGAGCAAACAGG